rnacentral:rRNA from 1 species
GACGAACUGUGCAAACGUUUAUUCGGAAUCACUGGGCUUGAAGAGUGCGUAGGCGGUUUCGUAAGUAGGGUGUGAAAGCCCCCCAGCUCAACUGGGGAACUGCGUCCUAAAACUGCGAGGCUGGAGUGAGGUAGGGGUGUGUGGAACUUCCGGUGGAGCGGUGAAAUGUGUUGAUAUCGGAAGGAACGCCGGUGGCGAAAGCGACACACUGGGGUCUCAACUGACGCUGAGGCACGAAAGCCAGGGGAGCGAACGGG